rnacentral:rRNA from 1 species
GACGAACGCUGGCGGCGUGCUUAACACAUGCAAGUCGAACGGUGAAGCGCCUUCCUUUUUGGUGGGUGUGGAUGAGUGGCGAACGGGUGAGUAACACGUGAGUAACCUGCCCCCUUCUUCUGGAUAACCGCAUGAAAGUGUGGCUAAUACGGGAUAUUCUGGGUCUGUCGCAUGAUGGGUCUGGGAAAGAUAUUGUUUCGGUGGGGGAUGGGCUCGCGGCUUAUCAGCUUGUUGGUGGGGUGAUGGCCUACCAAGGCGGUGACGGGUAGCCGGCCUGAGAGGAUGGACGGUCACACUGGGACUGAGACACGGCCCAGACUCCUACGGGAGGCAGCAGGGGGGAUUAGUGCACAAUGGGCGCAAGCCUGAUGCAGCGACGCCGCGGGAGGGAUGGAGGCCGUCGGGUUGUGAACCUCUUUCGCCAGUGAAGCAGGCCUGCCUCGUUUGUGGGUGGGUUGACGGUAGCUGGAGAAGAAGCGCCGGCUAACUACGUG